CUAACGUUUUUGCGCAUGCUCCGGGCGCCAGCUUCUAGUACUUUCGCUGCGUCUGCGAACUUCCUCCCACAGUUGGCGUCCGGACGUCGGAGGUGAAGGUUGCAGUCUUAGGAAUUCCAGAAGACCUAGGAAAACCACCUUCAGCCUCCCGAGCUUGGAGAGGGAGCCGUCCGUUGGGCCUUUCUCUCCGUCCUGCUAGGUGUUGACGGCCAGCGAGGCCGUGAGCUUGCGGAGGCGCGCGCUCCACUGAAGGAACCCUGGCCSCAGGCGCCAUGUCCAACUACGUGAACGACAUGUGGCCCGGCUCGCCGCAGAAGGACUCCCCCGCGACCUCGCGGUCGGGCCGCUCCAGCCGCCUGUCGUCGCGGUCGCGGAGCCGCUCCUCGUCCGGGAGCUCCCGGUCCGACACGCGCCGCUCCAGCCCCGCGUCCUCCAGGAGCCGCAGCCGGCCCCGCAGGCGCAGCAGGUCGCGCUCUCGCUCCCGGAGGCGCCACCAGCGCAAGUACCGGCGCUACUCCCGGUCCUACUCGCGGAGCCGCUCGCGCUCCCGCGGCCGCCGGUACCGGGAGAGGCGCUACGGGCCGCCGCGGCGGUCUCACCGCUCGCCUUCGCCCUACCGGUCGCGGAGCAGGUCGCGCUCCCGUGGAAGGUCGUGUUACAGAAGGUCGUACUACGCCAUCACCCGGGGGCGGCGCUACUACGGCUUCGGCCGCACCGUUUACCCCGAGGAGCACAGCAGGUGGCGGGAGAGAUCCCGGACCCGGUCGCGCAGCAGGACCCCGUUUCGUUUAACCGAAAAAGAUCGAAUGGAGCUGUUAGAAAUAGCAAAAGCCAAUGCAGCAAAAGCUUUAGGAACAACCAACUUUGACCUGCCAGCUAGUCUGAGAACUGUUCUCUCAGCUAAAGAAACAAGCCAUGGAGCAGAUGUACCACGUAAUGGUGUAAAGUCUGAGGUAAGUAUUCUAAGUACCAGCUUUCUUCCUAAAGCUACUUACUGCCAGAAAGAUCUGAAAAGCCAUUUCAUUUAUUUAUUCUGGGCUACACUUCUUGGGAAGUCUAGCUAUGAAAAAUUUGCCAAUAACAAAAUAGAUCCAUGAUGCUAGACAGUAUCAACACUCAUGAAAUUGGGAGAUAAUGAAUUUUAUUUUGAAUAUAUUGUUACUGGUACUGAUUUCUGUAUCAAGUUUGCCCUACUCGGUCUUUAUAGACAAGUGUCUUUAUUUUUCUCCUGUAGCUUUCAUUUGCAGGAUUAUGUUCCCACAUAUCUGUGCUCAGCAUACAGUAUAGUUUAUCUGCUUUAUUUCUGUCUUAUAGAAAUCAUGAAUGUGGUCUCCAGACAAUGAUGAAGAAAAUCUGUUGAUGUUUUGAGAGAUUGCAGAAGAGGAGUCCUGCUUCACUUGCAGAUAAGUUUAUUAUAAUUCUCYAGAAAUAUGCAGGAAGUGUGUUGGCAAAUUACACUGUACUUCUAAGUUAAAUGUGAAAAUCUAAAGUUUAAAAUUGAUAAAUGAUAUAAGGUAGAAAUUGAUAGAAUAAAUCUAUCAUUAGGAUCCAGGUGUGGUUUUGUUCAGUGUUAGUAGACAAGUAAGGUCUUAGUUGAGUCAUGUAUUGAUUAGGUACCCAACUGGCAAAUGUCUUAUUAGUUCCUUGAAACUAGUUAUUUCUGGUAUGUCUUGACAUUUAAAAGUUACUUGGAUUUGUGGCAGGGAAAGAAAAUAUUGUUGGCAAAAUGUGCCUUUUAAUCUACUGCUGUAUAUUCCAGUUUGCUAAGUGGAAAGUUUUAUCUUGUUUAGGCUGUUAACUAUAUGGUGUUAGAUUCAACUUGAUUUGUGUGUCUACAACAAAAUUUGUAAUAUAUACAACUAGGCUUUUUAUACAGUUAUUUWAAAAACCAAGGAUGGGUUUUUUUGAAAUGUCUUUCUCUUACCUGUCUAGAUGUCGGAAAGGUUAACAGAAGAUGGAACUAAAAAUCCCAGUGAAAAAUCUUCCCAGCAGAAAAACAUAGCUUUUAGC